rnacentral:rRNA from 1 species
GAUGUCCAAGAUUAGCCAUGCAUGUCUCAGUAUAAGCUUCUAUACGGCGAAACUGCGAAUGGCUCAUUAAAACAGUUAUAGUUUAUUUGGUGGUCAGCAAUUACAUGGAUAACCGUGGUAAUUCUAGAGCUAAUACAUGUGCCCAAACCCGACUUCGUGGAAGGGUUGUGUUUAUUAAAUACAGAACCAACCCAGGCUCCGCCUGGCCUUGAGGUGAUUCAUAAUAACCGAACGAAUCGCAUGGCUAUGCCGGCGAUAGACCAUUCAAGUUUCUGACCUAUCAGCUAUCGUCGGUAGGGUAUUGGCCUACCGUGGCAAUGACGGGUAACGGAGAAUUAGGGUUCGAUUCCGGAGAGGGAGCCUGAGAAACGGCUACCACAUCUAAGGAAGGCAGCAGGCGCGCAAAUUACCCAAUCCUGACGCAGGGAGGUAGUGACAAGAAAUAACAAUACAGGGCAUACAUGUCUUGUAAUUGGAAUGAGUAAACUUUAAAUCACUUU